rnacentral:rRNA from 1 species
UAUCCGGAUUUACUGGGUGUAAAGGGAGCGUAGACGGUUUUGCAAGUCUGAAGUGAAAGCCCGGGGCUUAACCCCGGGACUGCUUUGGAAACUGUAGAACUAGAGUGCAGGAGAGGUAAGUGGAAUUCCUAGUGUAGCGGUGAAAUGCGUAGAUAUUAGGAGGAACACCAGUGGCGAAGGCGGCUUACUGGACUGUAACUGACGUUGAGGCUCGAAAGCGUGGGGAGCAAACAGGAUUAGAUACCCUGGUAGUCCACGCCGUAAACGAUGAUUACUAGGUG